rnacentral:rRNA from 1 species
GGCGUAGGCGGCUCGUCAAGUCGGAUGUGAAAUCUCCCGGCUCAACUGGGAGGGUGCAUUCGAAACUGACAGGCUAGAGUGCAGCAGAGGAAGAUGGAAUUCCCGGUGUAGUGGUGAAAUGCGUAGAUAUCGGGAAGAACACUAGUGGCGAAGGCGGUCUUCUGGGCUGUAACUGACGCUGAGGCCCGAAGGCGUGGGGAGCAAACAGGAUUAGAUACCCUGGUAGUCCACGCAGUAAAUGAUGGAUACUAGGUAUGGGGAGUAUCGACCCUCUCCGUGCCGAAGCUAACGCUUUAAGUAUCCCGCCUGGGGAGUACGGUCGCAAGACUAAA